AAUGUAAUGCAUCUAGAAGGUUUGUGGAAGUCCAGUUGACUAGUUAGGGCAGAUCUUAACCUUCAGGAGGGUCUGUUCUAUGGUUAAUCAUCAGUGUUUUCUGGACACUGACGACGUCCCCACAGCACACAUUUGGUCAGUUUCUGAAUAAAAACUGUGUGAAACAUUUAGGACCAAAAUGGUUCCCAUACAAAACUGUUACAUUGUGUGUAAAAUGUCCCCACAAAGCCUGUUGUGUUUGAGUUGUGUGAUUAAAGACAGGGCUUUACACCAAAUUGAUCAUUUAUGUCUCUAUUUUCAUAUUCUAAAACUCUGCCACCAUAAAUGUUUUUACAGACAUCCAGCAUUGAAAGGGACAGCAUUGCUGCAGACAGAUCCAGACCUUUGCCCCUGUCAGACAAUCAGAUUGAUGUCACUGGUCAACACAAAGCUCCUCAAAAGAUGGCCUGCACAGCAACUGAGAGCACUGUGGCAGACAAGUCCAAAAUGUUACCCCUGUCAGACAAUCACAUUCAUGAGAUCACUGGUCAACACAAAACUCAAUAACAGACAUCCAGCAUUGAAAGGGACAGCAUUGCUGCAGACAGAUCCAGACCUUUGCCCCUGUCAGACAAUCAGAUUGAUGUCACUGGUCAACACAAAGCUCCUCGAAAGAUGGCCAGCACAACAACUGAGAGCACUGUGGCAGACAAGUCCAAAAUGUUACCCCUGUCAGACAAUCACAUUCAUGAGAUCACUGGUCAACACAAAACUCAAUAACAGGUAGUGUACAGUCAUGUUCAUCACUGCAGAUUACAUGCUAUAGUCUCUAUAAGUAAGGUUUUGGUAUUUGUCAUGUCUUAAGUAUGUAAGAAGAGGAAGGAAGUGUAAUAAAAUGUGCUCUAGUAUGAAGCAGUAUACGCAACAGUUUAAUGUAAUGCAUCUAGAAGGUUUGUGGAAGUCCAGUUGACUAGUUAGGGCAGAUCUUAACCUUCAGGAGGGUCUGUUCUAUGGUUAAUCUUCAGUGUUUUCUGGACACUGACGACGUCCCCACAGCACACAUUUGGUCAGUUUCUGAAUAAAAACUGUGUGAAACAUUUUGGACCAAAAUGGUUCCCAUUAGACACUGUUACAUUGUGUGUAAAAUGUCCCCACAAAGCCUGUUGUGUUUGAGUUGUGUGAUUUAAAGACAGGGCUUGGCUGGCCAAUAAGAAAUGCUUUACUUUGAAUUUCAUUUUUUUCUCAGAAUUCUGGUAUUUGUUUGCAUGCAUUUCAUGUUAAAGAUUGUGUCUGAACAACAGGUCCAUCAUUGAUUUGUCAGAAGUCUGGUACAUGUUUGCGUGCUAAUAGAAAUAUGACAAAAGUUGUGACUGUGUUUGGGAAUUAAAGAAAUAAUAGUUUUAACAGGGGAAAGUAAAUGGUUUGAAAAGGUUUGUCUUAUUGUCGUAUGUUUUGGUUUGGAAAUUAUCCAGAUAAUUGCUCUUUAAAUCUUUUGUACAUGAGUAGCUAGCUUUUUAUUGCUUUAUUUGAUUUAUAUGUUUAUAGUGCCAAAUCAUAAUAAGUUAUGCUUUUGUACAGAGUAUGUCUAGAUCACAUUCCAAUUUAUGAUUAACAAAGUUCAAUCAAUUCCUCCAUGAGCAACAGCAAGAUGCAAUAUUUAUGUGUUAAACCUUUCUUUUAACAUGCAGGCAUGUCAAACAGACCCGUCUCCAUGGUUACAGCCAUUUGCCUUGACCGGUUAGGAACAAGAGAUCAAUUAAUAUUUACUUGAUUCUCUUAAAUAUUCCUAUUAAAGUUAGAUAUCAAUCAAUCAUAUGUUUUGCUAUGACCUGAAUAUGUAUGAUAUGCAAAAGUGAUGGUUGGAAUCAUUCAUCUUUUCAAGCUUAAUGCUCCAUAUCUAUGUUAUUUAUGAACAACUAAGAUAAUCUGAAUAAAAACAUUUGUUAUUAUUGUACUUUGUAUGCAUCUUUUCAUUCUAAUUGAUUCAAUUUGUAGAUUAAAUCUUUAAUUUAUUUGUUGCAAAGUCCCCACUAAUAACGAUAGAAUUUGUGUGAAUUAUGUAAAUAUCAUGCUAAUGAGGUCCCCACCAACAAUGUUAAUUCGUUUUUUUACUCGUCCCCAAAUAUGAUGGUGAAGUCAUUACUUCAUCAAUUCAGAUGUUUAAAGUUGUGUAUAAGCUAACAAGGCUAUGGUGAGUAUACCUGAUUUUUUUCAUACCUCUAGCACCUUUAGAAAGGGUGGUCCCCACAAAUGAUGGUUAAAAAAUUGGUCCCCAAUAAACAUAAAAACCA